rnacentral:lncRNA from 1 species
GUGGAUAUGGUCAUCAAGACAUAUAAGUGGGAUGGUACCAUGCCAGAGGAGAUCACAAUUAAAGGUCUCAAAUAAUGACACUGCAUUUUAGAGAAUCCUCUUGACCAUCUGACUUUUGAGAAAAAUAAUUGAGAAAAAUUUGGAGGAAGAAAUUGGGCAACAGCCAUUAUUAUCUGACGAGCAUCAUGGUUAGUGUCUUUGAUGGAGGAUAUACUGGCAGGACUUGGCUUAUUUUCACUCUUUCCACUCUAUAUUGAUCUAUUGAUCUCUUCUUCCCAAUUGUGGUCCUGCUAACCAACAGUAAGCCUGGGAUCAUCUUUAGAUGUUUUGAUGCAAAUUCACAGAUACACUGGUGACAAGAAGCAACAAUUUACAUAGCCCACUUGCCAGGCCCACUCCAGGAGCUAGACAGGGUUAGCUUCAAGAACUUCUUACAAGUACCAAUGUAUUUGCCCACACCACUCAUUCAGGAAAGCUGGUGUGGGCUUUUUCUCUGAUUCUGGCCUUUUGGGCUCUUUACUAUUUAAGCUUGUCCCACGGUGUGUAAGGUCUUAGUCUUACAAAAAUUUUUCUUAUGAAAUAAUAUACAUGAUGGUGGCUCUUCUCUUGACUUAACUCCAAUUGGUUCAGAUGAUUAUGUUUUAUGACUUUUUUAUUCUUCCUCCAUAUCAUAUUGCCAUACUUCUCAACAACAUGUGUAGCAUUUUUCUAACAUUGUGGAACUUG